GACGAACGCUGGCGGCGCGCUUAACACAUGCAAGUCGAACGGAAAGGCCUGCUUUCCCUUGUGGAUUGCGGGUACUCGAGUGGCGAACGGGUGAGUAACACGUGAGUGAUCUGCCCCCAACUUGGGUAUAAGCCUGGGAAACUGGGUCUAAUUCCCGAUAGGACUCCAGGGUGGUGCCUGUGGUGGAAAACGAUUUUCUAGUGGUUGGGGAUGAGCUCGCGGCCUAUCAGCUUGUUGGUGGGGUAAUGGCCUACCAAGGCGGCGACGGGUAGCCGGCCUGAGAGGGUGGACGGCCACAUUGGGACUGAGAUACGGCCCAGACGCCUACGGGAGGCAGCAGUGGGGAAUAUUGCACAAUGGGCGGAAGCCUGAUGCAGCGACGCCGCGUGGGGGAUGACGGCCUUCGGGUUGUAAACUCCUUUCGACCGCGAGGAAGCCACCUGGUUGGAAGGGUGGUGACGGUAGUGGUAGAAGAAGCACCGGCUAACUACGUG
rnacentral:rRNA from 1 species